UACGGAGGGUGCGAGCGUUGUCCGGAAUCACUGGGCGUAAAGGGCGCGUAGGCGGCAUGCCAAGCGUGUGGUGAAAGCCCGGGGCUCAACCCCGGGUCGGCCGUGCGGACUGGCGUGCUCGAGCACUGUAGGGGCGGGUGGAAUUCCGGGUGUAGCGGUGAAAUGCGUAGAUAUCGGGAGGAACACCUGUGGCGAAAGCGGCGCACUGGACCACAUCUGACGCUGAGGCGCGAAAGCUAGGGGAGCAAACAGG
rnacentral:rRNA from 1 species